AUUGAACGCUGGCGGCAGGCCUAACACUUGCAAGUCGAGCGGAUGAAGCGAGCUUGCUCCUGGAUUCAGCGGCGGACGGGUGAGUAAUGCCUAGGAAUCUGCCUGGUAGUGGGGGAUAACGUCCGGAAACGGGCGCUAAUACCGCAUACGUCCUGAGGGAGAAAGUGGGGGAUCUUCGGACCUCACGCUAUCAGAUGAGCCUAGGUCGGAUUAGCUAGUUGGUGGGGUAAAGGCCUACCAAGGCGACGAUCCGUAACUGGUCUGAGAGGAUGAUCAGUCACACUGGAACUGAGACACGGUCCAGACUCCUACGGGAGGCAGCAGUGGGGAAUAUUGGACAAUGGGCGAAAGCCUGAUCCAGCCAUGCCGCGUGUGUGAAGAAGGUCUUCGGAUUGUAAAGCACUUUAAGUUGGGAGGAAGGGCAGUAAGUUAAUACCUUGCUGUUUUGACGUUACCAACAGAAUAAGCACCGGCUAACUUCGUG
rnacentral:rRNA from 1 species